rnacentral:rRNA from 1 species
CCUCAGUAAUGGCGAAUGAACAGGGAUAAGCUCAGCAUGGAAAUUGGGGCCUGUGGCCUUGAAUUGUAGUCUCGAGAUGUUCCGCCAACGGAGGCGCAGAUGUAAGCCUUUUGGAAAAGAGCAUCGCCGAGGGUGAGAAUCCCGUAUGUCAUCUGCAGCCCCCCGUGCGUGGUGUACCUUCUAAGAGUCACGUUCCUCGGAAUUGGAGCGCAAAGUGGGUGGUAAAUUUCAUCUCAGGCUAAAUAUUAGUUCGAGACUGAUAGCAAACAAGUACCAUGAGGGAAAAAUGAAAAGGACUUUGAAAAGAGAGUUAAAAGUGCCUGAAAUUGCUGAAAGGGAAGCGAAUGGAACCAGUUUAGCUUGGUGAGAUUGUUGCGUGCUAGUGUGACUGCCUGCUGUUUCAAGCUUGCUGUGGCAGUAGGUGCUGAUCAUUAUGCGCGUGGUGGUUCUUGCCUUAUGUGUCAUUUUCAGUUCAUGAAAAAGGAAAACUCCAGGGACGUUGGUAGUCCGCCCCGGUUGUGUGAAUGUGUUUGGUGGAAUUUUUCCGUGUGCUGAAUCCUUGAUUAGAUGACUAAAUGGUUCCAUCUGACCCGUCUUGAUAACACGGACCAAGGAGUCUAACAUAUGCGCGAGUUCAUGGGCGGAUAAACCUGCUUGCGCAAUGAAAGUGACUGUUGGGAUUUUUGCACCAACAACCGACCAAUCAAUUGAGAGAGGUUUGAGUGUGAGCGUAUGUGUUAGGACCCGAAAGAUGGUGAACUAUGCCUGAGAAGGGCAAACUCAGGGGAAACUCUGAUGGAGGCUCGUAGUGAUACUGACGUGCAAAUCGUUCGUCGUACUUGGGUAUAGGGGCGAAAGACUAAUCGAACCAUCUAGUAGCUGGUUCCCUCCGAAGUUUCCCUCAGGAUAGCUGGAGUUGAGCAGUUUUAUGAGGUAAAGCGAAUGAUUAGAGGAAUCGGGGACGCGUUGUCCUCGACCUAUUCUCAAACUUUAAAUGGGUACGAUCCAAUGGUUACUUGUGUGAACUUCUGGGAUAAAUGACAACUCUAAGUGGGCCAUUUUUGGUAAGCAGAACUGGCGAUGAGGGAUGAACCUUACGUUGGGUUGAAGUGCUUAAUUGCUCGCUCAUCAGAUACCAUAAAGGGUGUUGGUUCAUUUUAACAGCAGGACGGUG